UUAUCAGAUUUGUUACAAGGUUGUGCUAACAAGUCUGAUACAGUCAUGAUAAACAAGAAUGUUACAAGGUUGAUGACACAAGGUUGUAAAAAUACUGCCAUAUCAUGACUGUAUCGGACUUGUUGGAACAACCUUGCAACAAGUCUGAUAA